UGCUUGACGAGUGGCGAACGGGUGAGUAAUACAUCGGAACGUGCCUAGUAGUGGGGGAUAACUACUCGAAAGAGUAGCUAAUACCGCAUGAGAUCUACGGAUGAAAGCAGGGGACCUUCGGGCCUUGUGCUACUAGAGCGGCUGAUGGCAGAUUAGGUAGUUGGUGGGGUAAAGGCUUACCAAGCCUGCGAUCUGUAGCUGGUCUGAGAGGACGACCAGCCACACUGGGACUGAGACACGGCCCAGACUCCUACGGGAGGCAGCAGUGGGGAAUUUUGGACAAUGGGCGAAAGCCUGAUCCAGCAAUGCCGCGUGCAGGAUGAAGGCCCUCGGGUUGUAAACUGCUUUUGUACGGAACGAAAAGCCUGGGGCUAAUAUCCCCGGGUCAUGACGGUACCGUAAGAAUAAGCACCGGCUAACUACGUGCCAGCAGCCGCGGUAAUACGUAGGGUGCAAGCGUUAAUCGGAAUUACUGGGCGUAAAGCGUGCGCAGGCGGUUUUGUAAGACAGUGGUGAAAUCCCCGGGCUCAACCUGGGAACUGCCAUUGUGACUGCAAGGCUAGAGUGCGGCAGAGGGGGAUGGAAUUCCGCGUGUAGCAGUGAAAUGCGUAGAUAUGCGGAGGAACACCGAUGGCGAAG
rnacentral:rRNA from 1 species